rnacentral:rRNA from 1 species
AGUCGAGGGGUACAUUGGUGCUUGCACCAGAUGACGACCGGCGCACGGGUGCGUAACGCGUAUAGAACCUACCUUUUACAGGGGAAUAGCCUUUAGAAAUGAAGAUUAAUGCCCCAUAGUAUUACGACUUGGCAUCAAGUUGUAUUUAAAGAUUUAUCGGUAAAAGAUGGCUAUGCGUCCUAUUAGUUAGUUGGUAAGGUAACGGCUUACCAAGACAUCGAUAGGUAGGGGUCCUGAGAGGGAGAUCCCCCACACUGGUACUGAGACACGGACCAGACUCCUACGGGAGGCAGCAGUGAGGAAUAUUGGACAAUGGAGGCAACUCUGAUCCAGCCAUGCCGCGUGCAGGAAGACGGCCCUAUGGGUUGUAAACUGCUUUUAUACAGGAAGAAACAUCCCGACGUGUCGGGACUUGACGGUACUGUAAGAAUAAGGACCGGCUAACUCCGUGCCAGCAGCCGCGGUAAUACGGAGGGUCCGAGCGUUAUCCGGAAUCAUUGGGUUUAAAGGGUCCGCAGGCGGUCAAUUAAGUCAGAGGUGAAAUCCCAUAGCUUAACUAUGGAACUGCCUUUGAUACUGGUUGACUUGAGUCAUAUGGAAGUAGAUAGAAUGUGUAGUGUAGCGGUGAAAUGCAUAGAUAUUACACAGAAUACCGAUUGCGAAGGCAGUCUACUACGUAUGUACUGACGCUCAUGGACGAAAGCGUGGGGAGCGAACAGGAUUAGAUACCCUGGUAGUCCACGCCGUAAACGAUGGAUACUAGUUGUUGGGAUUUAUCUCAGUGACUAAGCGAAAGUGAUAAGUAUCCCACCUGGGGAGUACGGUCGCAAGA